CCCUUAGAUGUUCUGGGCCGCACGCGCGCUACACUGAAUGGAUCAACGUGUUUUCCCUUCCCGAGAGGGACGGGUAACCCGCUGAACCCCAUUCGUGGUAGGGAUCGGAGCUUGCAAUUGUUCUCCGUGAACCAGGAAUUCCCAGUAAGCGCAAGUCAUAAGCUUGCGUUGAUUACGUCCCUGCCCUUUGUACACACCGCCCGUCGCUCCUACCGAUGGGGUGAUCCGGUGAAUGAUUCGGACUCUGUAGACUCGCCAUGAGUUUUGACGGAGAAAGUCUUGUGAACCUUAUCACUUGGAGGAAGGAGAAGUCGUAACA
rnacentral:rRNA from 1 species